GGUGAGAGGAGGGGCUCUUUAUAGUCGUCAUCAUGACCAACUGGACGCCCUGCAGCAAGCCCCGCCCCCUUCCCAUCAUCCUCUCCCCCCGGAUCACCAUGGAGAUGGACCCAACAUUCCAGAACCCUAUCAGCUGGUUUCUGCAGCGAGGGAGGAGUAUCUGAAAAGGAGACAAGAAGCCAACCACUACAAACUCAGAGCAGAGAAACAACUGGUACACACACACACACACACACACACACAGACAGAGGAAGCCAACCAUUACAAACUCAGAGCAGAGAAACAACUGGGGCUGCGUCCCAGCACUGCUGAUGCUGAUUGGUCCAGACCAGCACCCCCACCUCAGCACCCCCCACCACACAGGAAACAGCACCUGCAGCAGAAGGACUAUCUUAUGCAGCUACAGAUGAUCAGACAGCAGUAUCAGGAUGAGAUCCGAGAGUUCAGGAGGAGAGAAGCAGCACCGCAAAAUGUGGAAGAAGCUUUAAGAGAAAUACAACAGCAGCACAGACCGAAGAGGAGUCACACAAAAAGGAAAGGAAUCAAGUUUGAGAUCUUCCUGACUGAUGAGAAGACCCAAGAAUGCGGAGCGAGAAAAAAGAAGACGAGGAGGAGCCGAAGGAGGAAGAGAGAGAGACAGAUGAGAAGAGGGACGGAGAGAGAGAGAUGAACGAGAUCAGAGAUGGAGAGAGAGAGAUGAACGAGAGCAGAGAUGGAGAGAGAGAAAGGGUGGAUCCUUUGAAUCAGACUCAGAUGUUGCAUGCAGGAGAGAACCUGACACCGAAGUUAGGGAGUCUGGAAGUAGAGAGAGAGAAGGAUAGAGGGAGAGAGAGAGAGGAUAGAGGGACAGAGAGAGAGAAGGAUAGAGGGGACAGAGAGAGAGGAUAGAGGGAUAGAGAGAGAGAAGAAUAGAGGGACAGAAAGAGAAAGGGAUAGAGGGAUAGAGAGAGAAGAGGAUAGAGGGAGAGAGAGAGUUCUGGGGAGUGAAGGAGAAAGAGAGAAGGAGCGAGAGACAGAGAAGGAAGGUGUGUGUAGAGAGAGGAGUGUGUGUGUGUGUGUGAGUGGUGUGUGUGUGUGUAGAGAGAGGAGUGUGUGGCCCAGAGGAACUCCACACACACUGAUGGACGCUCUCGCUCUCAAAGACCUGACUGUCUGCUCCAGCAGCACUACAGGUGAGU
ensembl:lncRNA